AUUGAACGCUGGCGGCAUGCCUUACACAUGCAAGUCGAACGGCAGCGCGGACUUCGGUCUGGCGGCGAGUGGCGAACGGGUGAGUAAUACAUCGGAACGUACCCUGUUGUGGGGGAUAACUAGUCGAAAGAUUAGCUAAUACCGCAUACGACCUGAGGGUGAAAGUGGGGGACCGCAAGGCCUCACGCAGCAGGAGCGGCCGAUGUCUGAUUAGCUAGUUGGUGGGGUAAAGGCCCACCAAGGCGACGAUCAGUAGCUGGUCUGAGAGGACGAUCAGCCACACUGGGACUGAGACACAGCCCAGACUCCUACGGGAGGCAGCAGUGGGGAAUUUUGGACAAUGGGGGCAACCCUGAUCCAGCAAUGCCGCGUGUGUGAAGAAGGCCUUCGGGUUGUAAAGCACUUUUGUCCGGAAAGAAAUCGCGCUGGUUAAUACCUGGCGUGGAUGACGGUACCGGAAGAAUAAGCACCGGCUAACUACGUG
rnacentral:rRNA from 1 species